UAAAGAAACUGAGCUGAAAAAGAUGGACAUGUAUGGUCAGUGGUCACACUGGUGAGGCAUAAAGAAACUGAAACUCGCUGUCUUUGAGCAUUGACUCAGAAGAGUACCAAAAAUCCAAAGCUGGAACAAACAGAAACUUUGAUGAUCAUUCACAAAUCACAAUAAAACUGAUUAAUGCCCAUUUCAGCACAGCCUGUAAGAGGUCCUUGAAAUUUUUUUGAGAGAAGAAACCGACAAUUUUAACAUGACUAAUAAUUCCAAGUUUCCAACCAUCCCAUGUGGCUCCCUACUCCUUUCACUGAAUUCUGUGCUUGCCUAGUCACUCUGCUAUUCUUUUUUCUCUGCCCCCUCUUUUUUUUUUUUUUUUUUUUUCUUGUUAGUUAAAGGCACUGUCCCAAGAAAAAUUCUAGAGUACUGCAUUCUGUGAAUCUGGUUUUCAGCAUGUGGGAAUCUGAGAGUGAGUCGGCUGCAACACACAAAUAUGGGGGUGGACUUCUCACUUCAACUAACCAUGGUGUCAAGACAGAAGGAUUUGUGCAAAGAGGCCACUCUUGGUAUGUUGCUACUGAUAUUCCAAGUGACUUUCUUGUUCAAAUUGGAGAAGCUAACUUUCACUUGCACAAGUAUCCCUUGGUAUCUAGAAGUGGAAAGCUGAGUAGAGUCAUAUACGAAUCCCACGACCCAGAUUUGAAUAAGAUAGUUAUGGAUGAUAUCCCUGGUGGGGAAGAGGCUUUUGAGCUUGCGGCCAAGUUCUGCUAUGGAAUUGCUGUUGAUUUAACAGCAGGCAACAUCUCAGGCCUAAGAUGUGCGGCAGAGUACCUUGAAAUGACUGAGGACCUUGAGGAAGGGAAUCUUAUAUUCAAGGCAGAAGCAUUCCUUAGCUAUGUUGUUUUGUCUUCAUGGAGAGACUCCAUAGUAGUGUUGAAAAGCUGCGAGAAGCUGUCACCUUGGGCGGAAAACCUUCAAAUUGUUCGCAGAUGCAGCGAGUCCAUCGCUUGGAAAGCUUGUGCCAAUCCCAAAGGGAUAAGGUGGUCCUACACUGGAAGAACUGCAAAAAUUUCUAGCCCAAAAUGGAAUGAUAUGAAGGACUCAAGCCCAAGUAGGAACCAGCAGGUUCCUCCAGAUUGGUGGUUUGAAGAUGCCUCAAUCCUUAGGAUUGAUCACUUUGUUAGAGUCAUCACUGCCAUCAAGGUAAAGGGCAUGAGAUUUGAAUUGGUUGGUGCUUCAAUAAUGCAUUAUGCAACUAAGUGGCUACCGGGAUUGAUUAGUGACACAGCAACCCCUGGUGAUGAAGCAAGCAACUGCAGCAUGAGUAACAGUAGUAGUAGUGGCGGCGGUAGCUGGAAAAGUGGACUUCAUAUGGUUGUGACUGGAACAAAAGAUGACAACACUUCAAGUCUUCAAGCUAAAGAGCAAAGGAUGAUCAUAGAGAGCCUUGUCAGCAUUAUUCCACCUCAGAAGGACAGUGUCUCAUGCAGCUUCCUUCUUAGGCUGCUGAGAAUGGCAAUCAUGUUAAAGGUUGCACCUGCACUGGUCACUGAGUUAGAGAAAAGGGUGGGAAUGCAGUUUGAGCAGGCUACACUGGCUGAUCUUUUGAUUCCUUCUUAUAAUAAAGGAGAGACUAUGUAUGAUGUGGAUCUUGUUCAGAGGCUGUUAGAGCAUUUUAUUGUUCAGGAACAGACUGAAAGUUCAAGUCCAAGCAGAAAUUCCUUUUCUGAUAAACAGCAUAUGGGAAUGGGAAUGGGAAUGGGAUGCAUCCUAAAUGCCAAGGCAAGAGUGGCAAGGCUUGUUGACAGUUAUCUUACAGAGGUGUCCAGAGAUAGGAACCUUUCCCUUACCAAGUUUCAGGUACUUGCAGAGGCUUUGCCUGAGUCAGCUAGGACCUGUGAUGAUGGACUUUACAGAGCAAUUGAUUCCUAUCUUAAGCAGGCUUCUUGUUCUCAUCACAAAGAAGGGAAAAGUUGAUUAGUGGCUCUGUCAGAUACAAGGGAGGACAUGCUAUAAUACACUGGAAAGAGACGCACCAUUGCUAUUCCCUAGAAGUGGAAACCAAACCAGUUUGGGAUUAUGUGGGAGACAACUAUGUUCAUAGACUUAUUCAGUCCAAAACUGAUGGGAAGUUGGUUGAGCUGAACACUCGGUGUGCACAUGCAGACAAUGAAUGUGGAAGUUGCAGCUGUGAAGAUAAUGCCAUGAAUGAGGCUAUACUUAAUAGUAAACUUGAAGCUAUUGUCGAUGAGUAGAAUGAAUUGCUUGCUACUCAACUUAAGUGUCCUCCAUUUGUCAUUUACCGUGAACCUGCCAACAUUGGUUAUUUGCCUCCUUAAAAGAAGAAUCUGAAAGAAAAAUUUCCAAAGCUGUUCAGAAGGCUAUCAGUCUUAAACAGCAGAAGAUUCAGUCCAAGAUUGACAGAUGUAAGAAAGAGAAGAAAUUUCUGGAUGAUCUUAAUGAGAAUCUUGUGAAAAAUGAGGAUAUUUGGAAAACAAAGAUACUUGCCAUUGAAGAGAGCUUGGAGAUCUCAUGGUUUGUCUAGAGGGUGGGAAGACUGUAGAACAGCUGCCAGUUUCAGAUGAGAUUACAGAAGGGAUUGUCUUGGUCAAAUCAAAAGAAUCCUCGACAACUAGUGGCUCUGACCUGGUGGGAAGAGACGCAUAACAGAAGAAUGGACUACAUUUCUCGGACUGACCUAUACCAUGUUUAUAUUCACAGAUUUAUAGAAACUACACUCGUGGAUUCACAGUUGACAUGUUUUCACUCUAAUUUUUUCCCGUAUAAAACUCUCUGUGUAUGUAUCUGUUUAGAUUUCUAAAUAAAAAGAUUUCCAACUACCAGUUUAAAUU